GAUGAACGCUGGCGGCGUGCCUAAUACAUGCAAGUCGAGCGAACAGACGAGGAGCUUGCUCCUCUGACGUUAGCGGCGGACGGGUGAGUAACACGUGGAUAACCCACCUAUAAGACUGGGAUAACUUCGGGAAACCGGAGCUAAUACCGGAUAAUAUAUUGAACCGCAUGGUUCAAUAGUGAAAGACGGUUUUGCUGUCACUUAUAGAUGGAUCCGCGCCGCAUUAGCUAGUUGGUAAGGUAACGGCUUACCAAGGCAACGAUGCGUAGCCGACCUGAGAGGGUGAUCGGCCACACUGGAACUGAGACACGGUCCAGACUCCUACGGGAGGCAGCAGUAGGGAAUCUUCCGCAAUGGGCGAAAGCUUGACGGAGCAACGCCGCGUGAGUGAUGAAGGUCUUCGGAUCGUAAAGCUCUGUUAUUAGGGAAGAACAAAUGUGUAAGUAACUAUGCACGUCUUGACGGUACCUAAUCAGAAAGCCACGGCUAACUACGUG
rnacentral:rRNA from 1 species